GUGUAUAUAUAUGACUGACGGUAAAGGUUAAGAAUAACCCAUCUCUGGGCUGGAGAGAUGGCUCAGCCGUAAAAGGCUAGGCUCACAACCAAAAAUAUA
ensembl:miRNA Gm26339 predicted gene, 26339